rnacentral:rRNA from 1 species
UACGUAGGAGACGAGCGUUGUCCGGAGUUACUGGGCGUAAAGGGUGCGCAGGUGGCGGCGCGCGUGGGGGGUGAAAUCGCCCGGCUUAACUGGGCGGGGGCCUUCCAGACGGCGUGGCUUGAGCAGCGGAGGGGGACGUGGAAUUCCGGGUGGAGCGGUGAAAUGCGUAGAGACUCCGGAGGAACACCGACGGCGCAGGCAGCGUCCUGGCCGCUUGCUGACACUGGAA